AUGCACGCUGGCGGCGUGCCUAAUACAUGCAAGUCGAGCGAACAGACGAGGAGCUUGCUCCUCUGACGUUAGCGGCGGACGGGUGAGUAACACGUGGAUACCUACCUAUAAGACUGGGAUAACUUCGGGAAACCGGAGCUAAUACCGGAUAAUAUAUUGAACCGCAUGGUUCAAUAGUGAAAGACGGUUUUGCUGUCACUUAUAGAUGGAUCCGCGCCGCAUUAGCUAGUUGGUAAGGUAACGGCUUACCAAGGCGACGAUGCGUAGCCGACCUGAGAGGGUGAUCGGCCACACUGGAACUGAGACACGGUCCAGACUCCUACGGGAGGCAGCAGUAGGGAAUCUUCCGCAAUGGGCGAAAGCCUGACGGAGCAACGCCGCGUGAGUGAUGAAGGUCUUCGGAUCGUAAAACUCUGUUAUUAGGGAAGAACAAAUGUGUAAGUAACUAUGCACGUCUUGACGGUACCUAAUCAGAAAGCCACGGCUAACUACGUG
rnacentral:rRNA from 1 species